rnacentral:rRNA from 1 species
AUGAACGCUGGCGGUAUGCUUAACACAUGCAAGUCGAACGGUGUCUUCGGACACAGUGGCGGACGGGUGAGUAACGCGUGAGAAUCUAGCUUCAGGUCUGGGACAACCACUGGAAACGGUGGCUAAUACCGGAUGUGCCGGAAGGUGAAAGGCUUGCUGCCUGAAGAUGAGCUCGCGUCUGAAUUAGCUAGUUGGUGGGGUAAGAGCCUACCAAGGCGACGAUCAGUAGCUGGUCUGAGAGGAUGAUCAGCCACAACUGGGACUGAGACACGGCCCAGACUCCUACGGGAGGCAGCAGUGGGGAAUUUUCCGCAAUGGGCGAAAGCCUGACGGAGCAAUACCGCGUGAGGGAGGAAGGCUCUUGGGUUGUAAACCUCUUUUCUCAGGGAAGAACACAAUGACGGUACCUGAGGAAUCAGCAUCGGCUAACUCCGUGCCAGCAGCCGCGGUAAUACGGAGGAUGCAAGCGUUAUCCGGAAUGAUUGGGCGUAAAGCGGUCCGCAGGUGGCUGUGUAAGUCUGCUGUCAAAGAGCGAAGCUCAACUUCGUAAAGGCAGUGGAAACUACACGGCUAGAGUGCGUUUCGGGGCAGAGGGAAUUCCUGGUGUAGCGGUGAAAUGCGUAGAGAUCAGGAAGAACACCGGUGGCGAAGGCGCUCUGCUAGGGCCGCAACUGACACUGAGGGACGAAAGCUAGGGGAGCGAAUGGGAUUAGAUACCCCCAGUAGUCCUAGCUGUAAACGAUGGAUACUAGGCGUGGCUUGUAUCGACCCCGAGCCGUGCCGUAGCUAAACGCGUUAAGUAUCCCGCCUGGGGGAGUACGCACGCAAGUGUGAAACUCAAAGGAAUUGACGGGGGCCCGCACAAGCGGUGGAGUAUGUGGUUUAUUAAUUCGAUGCAACGCGAAGAAACCUUACCAAGGCUUGACAUGUCGCGAAUUCUUCUGAAAGGAAGAAGUGCCUUCGGGAGCGCGAACACAGGUGGUGCGUGGCUGUCGUCAGCAUCGUGUCGUGAGAUGUUGGGGUUAAGUCCCGCCAACGAGCGCAAACCCUCGUUUUUUAGUUGCCAGCAUUUAAGUUGGGGCACUCUAGAGAGACUGCCGGUGACAAAACCGGAGGAAGGUGGGGAUGACGUCAAGUCAGCAUGCCCCUUACGCCUUGGGCUACACACGUACUACAAUGCUACGGACAGAGGGCAGCAAGCUAGCGAUAGCAAAGCUAAUCCCAUAAACCGUGGCUCAGUUCAGAUCGAAGGCUGCAACUCGCCUUCGUGAAGGAGGAAUCGCUAGUAAUUGCAGGUCAGCAUACUGCAGUGAAUUUCGUUCCCGGGCCUUGUACACAACCGCCCGUCACACCAUGGAAGCUGGCAACGCCCGAAGUCAUUACUCCAACCAUUCGUGGGGGAGGAUGCCUAAGGCAGUGCUGGUGACUGGGGUG